rnacentral:rRNA from 1 species
AUUAUAAAUAUCUUGUUAAUUAAUAAAGUAAGUUUGUAGUUUGAAAAAUAAUUUAUAAUUAAGUAAUUUUUAGAGAAAUAUAUUUAUGACUAAAGUGUAAAGUACUGUAGAGGAAAGAAUAAAUUAAAAGAAUUUUAAAUAGAAAGUUUAAAUUACUGUACCUUGUGUAUUAGGGUAAAUCAAUAUAGAUUAAUUAAGUUAAUUAUCUCGAAAUAGAAACAGUUAAUUUUAUAAAAUUUUUUUUGUAGAAUAAAAAUGCUGAAUAUAAAGUUAAAGGUGAAAUGUCAGUCGAGUUCUAUAAUAUCUAGUUUUUUUAGAUAUAAAUUUAAUUUAGGUUUUUUGUUAACAAAAUGCAAAGAUCAAAGUAUAGGAGGGAGUAGCUUCUUAUAAAGUUUGUUGAAAAGUUUAGUAAAUUCCAUGUAUUUGAAUUAGGCUUUAAAGUAGCUAUAAUAAUAAAGUGUUUUAACUAAGUAUGGAGUUUAAAAAUAUUUAUAUUUACUUUUAUAAUAUAUAAAAAAAUUAAUUAAAAUAAUAUAAAAUAAGAUAUAAUGAUUUUAUUAGUAAAGUUAUAGUGUAAAAAAGAAGUAUUAUUAUAAUGAAGUUGUUUUAUAAAAUAAUAUGGAAACAUACAGGAACUCGGCAAAUAAUUUUCUUGCCUGUUUAUCAAAAACAUGUCUGUUUGGAGAUAUAAAAAGUCUGGCCUGCCCACUGAUAUUUUUUAAAGGGCCGCGGUAUAUUGACCGUGCAAAGGUAGCAUAAUCGUUAGGUUUUUAAUUGAGAUCUAGAAUGAAUGGUUUGACAAAGAAAAAUCUGUCUUUAUGUUUUGUAAUUGAAUUUAACUUUUAAGUAAAAAGGCUUAAAUGAAUUAAGGGGACGAUAAGACCCUAUAAAACUUGAUGUAAUUUUUUUAUUUGGUUAAAAUAUAAUAGUUUAAAGACUUAGUAAAAAAUUUAUAUUAUAUUGGGGUGAUAAAUAUAAAAUGUUUAGUAACUGUGAAAAAGCUAAAGACAAAUAUGGGUGAUUAAUGAUAUAAAUGAUCCUAAUUAAAGAUUAUAAGUUUAAGUUACUUUAGGGAUAACAGCGUUAUUUUUUUUGAGAGUUCUUAUCGAAAGAAAAGUUUGCGACCUCGAUGUUGAAUUAAAAUUUCUA